AGCAAGAUGCCUGUGGCCGUGGGUCCCUAUGGACAGUCCCAGCCAAGAUGCUUCGAUCACAUGAAGAUGGGCUUUGUGAUGGGUUGUGCCGUGGGCAUAGCGGCCGGGAAGCUAUUCGGCACCUAUUCCUGUCUAAGGACCGGAAUGCGGGGUCGGGAGCUGAGGGCGGCAUCUGGAAAACCAUGAUGCAGAGUGGCGGCACCUUUGGCACAUUCAUGGCCAUCGGGAUGGGCAUCCGAUGUUAAUCAAGGCAGUUGUUGCCUACUACAUCUAUCCUCUCCCAUAGUUCUAGCCCAUAUUCAAUAAUAAAACAAGCCUUUGAGUAAAAAAAAAAAAAAAA